AUGAUCGCAUCGGUACGCUCCCUACUUCAUUCCAUCACGUCAAUAUUUUCACUAUAUGACUCGGUCACUACGCUGCAUAAGCUUCAGGAGAUAACCUGCGGCAGGCGUUACAGCGGGGCAAAAUAAGACGUCACAGCAACAAAAUAAUAUCUGGAAAUUACGCCUGACACCACAACGCUUACCAAGUCAUCCUUCCAGCCUCUCGGAAAAUGCUGCUCGCCGGGGUCAGGAUACACGUCAGCGCAAUCAGCGUCACAUUCCGAUUCGCUGCUCUCAGACGACGAGGUAGACAAGGUUUCAUGCGUGCUUUCCAAUGGAUGACAGUCUUCAGUUGCAGCGUCAAUUGAAGGGAAUGGUGCGAUGUGGCCUGCGUCAGCGUCUGCUUCGUUUUCGCAGAAAUUCUGUUCACUUGCAUCAGUAGAACCCAGUUCACUGUCCAACGCGGCAGACGAAGCACCGACUGAUGUACGUUUUUGAACCUAUUUUGAGCGUAUGGGCACGUCGAUGGACGGGUCCCAUAAGUAAUUUCCGAAUUGUCUUCUCGGCGACAUUAUUCGUGAACGGCGCUGGGCCUUGCACGAUUACUUUACGAUAAAAUAUAGAGCGCAACACCCAAGUAAAACAUAGCGAACAGCGAAUGCGGAGUACAGCGGAGUAGUCAUACAAUCACGUAGUAGUGCACCCGCUGGCUAGAAAACCUAAAGCGUUGCCAGACGGUCAACUGCCUCGACGCUCAAUGACUCAACAGUGAAACGUUAGAUCAGCGUAUCCAAGAGGUAGGUCUGGAAAAUGCAUUUUAUAUUAUUAGGCAAUAGUGUGUGGCUCACAGGGCCGCAAACAUUUAUUAAAGUUUUGUUUCAAGCUUUUGUUAUGAGUUUUUAAAAAAAUAAUUUUAAGCCAAACACAGCCAUAUCUAAAAAGUGAGCAGGAAACACUGAUACCAUCUCUUUCGUUUGCGUAUAGUUUGCGUCGUGUUUGCAUUUUUCCGUCGCCAUUUCGUACGUAUUUUUGUUAGUUGCCUCCCGUCAAGUUGGUUCUUUAUUUUAUGUUCCGGCCUCGGCACGUGCGUUUGUUUGCUCGGACAGCUGGAGCGUAAGAUGUCUCACGUCCUUGCGAAGUGAGUUGACGAUAACAAGUGGGACGUGUAUCCCGUGAAUGCUUUGGCCGACACGGAUGUGGCCUUCCGUCUCAUAUCGCAGCAGGGGUCAAUUAAAGAAGUAUUCAACUCAUCAGUUGGAAAGAAGGAGCGCCACCGGACCCGGCAGUACUCCUUGCCUUCGAUAUCAACCCAGGCAGCACCUGUACUGUUCAGGUAAAGGCACUUCAAGAAGAAAAUCGGGAAUUAAAAGAUGAAGUGGAACAUAUGAAGCGGAUGGCAGAAAAACACGAUUACAUUUAUGGUGGACAUUGGGGCCGGUGUGAGUGUUGAACAAGGCACCCUAGAGAAGCUAUGCUGAGCAUGCGAAAGUGGCCUUGGCAAAUUUGCCAGGGCUCUUUUGUGGAAUGUAUUCACCCCUGAGGAGCUACGGGACGAACCGCUCCUGGGUGAGAAGAGCAACUUGCACUUAAACCAGCCAUUCAAGGAGGCCUUGGACCCUAUUCGUAUCCGAGCUGUGAUUGGUAUGUACGUCAGUCCUAGUGGUACAACUCCAAAUUCCAGUCUUGGAACAUUAUUUUAAAAAUUCGCAUCUCCUCGUGCGUUACUUAGCAAGAGAUAUGCGCCAGCACAGCAAUAUUAGCUUUUAGUUUGACUGGUCAAGCUCGGCACCACCAGGUAGCUGGACCGUACAGAGCGAUCAGGCCACUCACGGACGUCUAGGCUAAAAGCUCCUUAUCACAGCAAUAGUAGCAUGGAGAGGAUUUAGUGUACGCCUCCACCUAUCCAUCAAAAUCUCCAAAUCUUGCCUGUGGUUAACAGAAAACCAAACACGCUUGGCAUUGCGACAGAAUGCUCGCAACACAUGCUGCUUCGACAGCUCGCUUGGGAUCGACUGCCAGUCAGCUGGCAGAGAAGUUUGAGAGGCUUGGUGCGCUGGCUCAAGACAACUAGAAGGAGAUGACAGGAUGUCCCAUCACGAUGCAGAGCCAGUGAAGGCGGAGCUUAGCCUGGCGAAUGAGUUGGAGAAAAAGCAUGGCUAUGGAGGUGGGUAACUUGUAAUUGGCUAAAGUUCUCUUAAAGGGCCCCUGAAACAGUUCGGACAAAUUUUGUAGACGCGUAGGAUACAGCUAAAGUUAAUCAUUCACACCACAAUUUGUGUGAAGCCUUGCGUAUUAAGAGAGCCACUGACGAUUACAAGUUACCCUCCUCCGUAGCCAUGCGUUUUCUCCUCAACUCGUUUGCCAAGUGAUCAGGGCUAAGCUCCGCCUUCACUGGCUCUGCGUCAGGACGGCACGUCGUGCCGUCUACUUCCAGUUCUCUAGGACCGAGUGCGCGAAGCCUCUCCAACCUCUCCACCAGUUGCUUGGCAGUCGACCCCAAGCGAGAGCUAUCGAAGCAGAGUGCAUUCUGAGCAGUCUGUCGCAACGCCGAAUGUGUCUGGCAUUCCGGUAACCACAGCUGAGCGGACUGAUUGGUCUGCACGGUCUAGCCACCUGUUGGCGCAGAGCUUAACCAGCCAAACAACGAGCUAAUAUUGCUCUGUCUCGGCGUAAAACAAUUUAAGCAUUUACAAAAACAUGUUAACGAUUACGCUCGUGCAAAAUAUUUACACCAGCAGUAAGGAAGAAUACACUUUGUUACUGUUACUGUUUUUGGUCAAGCUCUGUGCCAUCAGGUGGCUGCGCCGUGCAGUUUGCGCUUCUGCUCAUCCUGUGAAACGGCACAGUCAAACGGCCAGGCCCUGUCUCCUUGUGCUUGCAUUUACACAAAUACCGGACUCGCGAAACACUAUUGUGGUUUUUAGUAAUCCUCCGGUGUAAAGUGACGGCUGCAAACGUGCAAAUCCUGGCGCCGAUUCGAUAUCGACAGUCCGAUGCACUGCAGCCACUUCGCUCGUCUGCUGCCUUGCAGAGGGACAUGGUGUCGCAGCUUGACAUUGCCAGUUACUACGUUUUCAGCCUUCAACGUAACAAAGGCGAAUCGUGUUUCUUGCGAAAGGACUGAGACCGACAAUGACUGCGGAGCUCUCGUAAAAAUGGAGCACGUUGCAACACAAGCAGACGACACUUGCUGUGCGCCAGAAGUGUAGUGACAAAUUUUUCUUGUGCAUUCUCUUUCUGUUACUUUCUUUUUAUAGAAACAAAUUAACUAACAUUCCAACUAUUAAGAACAACAUUGGUUCACCAUAAAGUUAAAAAAAUUAUUGAUGAAGCGCGCUGGGCGGCCAGUCGGAUAGCUUGCCCUACCAGCAUCAUUAGGACAGUUUACAUCAAAUGGUUAGAUGCGGCUGAAAAUUCAGCCGAGUGGUGUGCUGUGAUCGGCAGCAAUGUAAAUUUUUGAAAUCUUAUAAUAAAUUAUGUGCUUUAACCGGAGCACUUACAUGUGUCAAAUAAUGAUCAGAAGGACCUAUCCUCUAAUGGCUCAGUAUGUUUGUACAGAAUCAUCAAAAUCAUUUCGGGGUCCCUCUAAUGUAAGAUGCUUUACACAGAUUGUUGUGCGAAUGUUUUACUGUAGCUGUGCCCCACGUGCCUACAAAAUUUGUCCGGACCAUUUCGGGGACACAUAAGUGUGUCUUAGCAACAAGGCUGUAUGUCAACGCUUAUUAGCCUUCAUAUAGCUGUGAUACUUUAGUGUUGCUAUCAUUGCUUCCACUUUUGGGUGAAGCUUCAACUGUUUUUGUCAUUGAAAUUCAUUUUUUCUGAUUGCCCGAUAAUUUGAUAAGGUUUACGCACCCUUUUGGGUAAGAGAAAUUUGCUGUGAGGAUAAAUGAAUUUAUAAAAGGUCAAAUUUUCAUUCAACGAAAUUUUUAUACAACGAAGUAAAGUGCU